AGUGAACGCUGGCGGUAGGCCUAACACAUGCAAGUCGAACGGCAGCACAGUAAGAGCUUGCUCUUACGGGUGGCGAGUGGCGGACGGGUGACGAAUACAUCGGAAUCUACUUUUUCGUGGGGGAUAACGUAGGGAAACUUACGCUAAUACCGCAUAUGACCUACGGGUGAAAGCAGGGGAUCUUCGGACCUUUCGCGAUUGAAUGAGCCGAUUUCGGAUUAGCUAGUUGGCGGGGUAAAGGCCCACCAAGGCGACGAUCCGUAGCUGGUCUGAGAGGAUGGUCGGCCACACUGGAACUGAGACACGGUCCAGACUCCUACGGGAGGCAGCAGUGGGGAAUAUUGGGCAAUGGGCGCAAGCCUGAUCCAGCCAUACCGCGUGAGUGAAGAAGGCCUUCGGGUUGUAAAGCCCUUUUGUUGGGAAAGAAAAGCAGCAGGUUAAUACCCCGCUGUUCUGACGGUACCCAAAGAAUAAGCACCGGCUAACUUCGUG
rnacentral:rRNA from 1 species